AUUGAACGCUGGCGGCAGGCCUAACACAUGCAAGUCGAACGAAGUCUUCGGACUUAGUGGCGGACGGGUGAGUAACACGUGGGGACGUGCCUUUAGGUUCGGAAUAACUCAGGGAAACUUGUGCUAAUACCGAAUGUGCCCCUCGGGGGAAAGAUUUAUCGCCUUUAGAGCGGCCCGCGUCUGAUUAGCUAGUUGGUGAGGUAAAGGCUCACCAAGGCGACGAUCAGUAGCUGGUCUGAGAGGAUGAUCAGCCACAUUGGGACUGAGACACGGCCCAAACUCCUACGGGAGGCAGCAGUGGGGAAUCUUGCGCAAUGGGCGAAAGCCUGACGCAGCCAUGCCGCGUGAAUGAUGAAGGUCUUAGGAUUGUAAAAUUCUUUCACCGGGGACGAUAAUGACGGUACCCGGAGAAGAAGCCCCGGCUAACUUCGUGCCAGCCGCCGCGGUAAGAC
rnacentral:rRNA from 1 species